CACUAGUGAGGGGACAAAAUGUGCGGAAACAAGCACAGAUGACCAUGAGAUGCAUGCAAGCAUUAGUACGUGUUCAGGCCAGAGUACGAGCAAGAAGACUCCAGUUAGUCCAGGAGAAGCUAGAGACCAAGCUAGAAGAAGCACGAAGGCACGCUAAUGAACAAAAACAACAACACAAGCACUCCAGCCCCAUUAGACUCGAAAGCAAGCUAGAAGAAGCACGAAAGCACGCGAAUGAACAACAACAACAACACAAGCACACCAGCCCCAUUAAAAUUUUAGAGACAGGAGGUUGGGAUAACAGGAACUAAAGCAUGGACAAGAU
rnacentral:lncRNA from 1 species